UGGGGAAUAUUGGACAAUGGGCGAAAGCCUGAUCCAGCAAUGCCGCGUGAGUGAUGAAGGCCUUAGGGUUGUAAAGCUCUUUUACCAGGGAUGAUAAUGACAGUACCUGGAGAAUAAGCUCCGGCUAACUCCGUGCCAGCAGCCGCGGUAAUACGGAGGGAGCUAGCGUUGUUCGGAAUUACUGGGCGUAAAGAGUACGUAGGCGGUGAUUCAAGUCAGAGGUGAAAGCCUGGAGCUCAACUCCAGAAC
rnacentral:rRNA from 1 species